rnacentral:rRNA from 1 species
UACGGAGGAUCCAAGCGUUAUCCGGAUUUAUUGGGUUUAAAGGGUGCGUAGGCGGAUUGAUAAGUUAGAGGUGAAAUGUCCGAGCUCAACUCGGGAACUGCCUCUAAUACUGUUGAUCUAGAGAGUAGAUGCGGUAGGCGGAAUGUAUGGUGUAGCGGUGAAAUGCUUAGAGAUCAUACAGAACACCGAUUGCGAAGGCAGCUUACCAAUCUAUAUCUGACGUUGAGGCACGAAAGCGUGGGGAGCGAACAGG